GACGAACGCUGGCGGCGUGCUUAACACAUGCAAGUCGAACGGACAGGCCCUGCUUUUGUGGGGUGCUCGAGUGGCGAACGGGUGAGUAACACGUGAGUAACCUGCCCUUGACUUUGGGAUAACUUCAGGAAACUGGGGCUCAUACCGGAUAGGAGCUCCUGCUGCAUGGUGGGGGUUGGAAAGUUUCGGCGGUUGGGGAUGGACUCGCGGCUUAUCAGCUUGUUGGUGGGGUAGUGGCUUACCAAGGCUUUGACGGGUAGCCGGCCUGAGAGGGUGACCGGCCACAUUGGGACUUGAGAGACGGCCCAGACGCCUACGGGAGGCAGCAGUGGGGAAUAUUGCACAAUGGGCGGAAGCCUGAUGCAGCAACGCCGCGUGCGGGAUGACGGCCUUCGGGUUGUAAACCGCUUUCGCCUGUGACGAAGCGUGAGUGACGGUAAUGGGUAAAGAAGCACCGGCUAACUACGUG
rnacentral:rRNA from 1 species